rnacentral:rRNA from 1 species
UACGAAGGGGGCUAGCGUUGUUCGGAAUUACUGGGCGUAAAGAGCUCGUAGGCGGCUUGUCGCGUCGAAUGUGAAAUCUCAGAGCUCAACUCUGACAUUGCAUUCGAUACGGGCAGGCUAGAGUUCGGUAGGGGAGACUGGAAUUCCUGGUGUAGCGGUGAAAUGCGCAGAUAUCAGGAAGAACACCAAUGGCGAAAGCAGCUCUCUGGGACGGUACUGACGCUAAGACGCGAAAGCGUGGGGAGCGAACAGG